rnacentral:rRNA from 1 species
UUCCGGUUGNNUCUGNCGGCGGCUACCGCUAUUGGAGUUCGAUUAAGCCAUGCGAGUCGCGAGACUUAGAAUCUCGGCGUACCGCUCAGUAACACGUGGGUAACCUGCCCUAUGCUAGGGGAUAACCUCGGGAAACUGAGAAUAAUACCCUAUAGUUCACCACGCCUGGAACGGUGGGUGGAUGAAAGCUCCGGCGGCAUAGGAUGGGCCUGCGGCGUAUCAGGUUGUAGGGGGUGUAAUGUACCCUCUAGCCAUCUACGCGUACGGGUGUUGGGAGACAUCGCCCGGAGAUGGAUUCUGAGACACGAAUCCAGACCCUACGGGGUGCAGCAGGCGCGAAAACUUGGCAAUGCGAGAAAUCGUGACCAGGGAACUCCGAGUGCAUCGGGUAAGACCGAUGCUUUUCUUGACUCUUCAAAGGUCUUGGAAUAAGGGGUGGGUAGGGACGGUGCCAGCCGCCGCGGUAAUACCGGCGCCUCAAGUGGUAGUCGCUUUUAUUGGGCCUAAAACGUCCGUAGCCGGUUUGGUACAUUCGUGGGUAAAUCAAGGCGCUCAACGUCUUGAAUUCUGCGAGCACGGCCAGACUUGGGACCGGGUGAGGUGUGGGGUACUCUCAGGGUAGGGGUAAAAUCCUGUCAUCCUGAGAGGACCACCUGUUGCGAAGGCGCCACACUAGAACGGAUCCGACGGUCAGGGACGAANCCUAGGGGCACGAACCGGAUU